rnacentral:rRNA from 1 species
CUGUGUGAUUUUGGAAAUGGGGGCAACCCUGUCCAGCCAUGCCGCGUGCGGGAAGAAGGCCUUCGGAUUGUAAACCGCUUUCGGCCGGAACGAAGGCGCCCGGAUGAACAUCCCGGGUGGAUGACGGUCCCGGAAGAAAAACCACCGGCUAACUACGUGCCAGCAGCCGCGGUAAUACGUAGGGUGCGAGCGUUAAUCGGAAUUACUGGGCGUAAAGCGUGCGCAGGCGGUCUCGUAAGACAGGUGUGAAAGCCCCGGGCUUAACCUGGGAAUUGCGCUUGUGACUGCGAGGCUGGAGUGGGGCAAAGGGAGGUGGAAUUCCACGUGUAGCAGUGAAAUGCGUAGAGAUGUGGAGGAACACCGAUGGCGAAGGCAGCCUCUUGGGCCAGCACUGACGCUCAUGCGCGAAAGCGUGGGAGCAAACAGGAUUAGAUACCCUGGUAGUCCACGCCCUAAACGAUGUCGACUAGUUGUUGGGGUACCAGUACCUUAAUAACGCACUUACGCGUGAAGUCUCCCGCC